rnacentral:lncRNA from 1 species
UCUCUCUCUUCUUUUAUUUUUUUUAUUUGUUUUUUGUUCUGUAGACCAUAAAAGCAUCUGACACAAACAAACAAACAAAAAAACUGCUACAAAUGCAGUAUUUGUUACAUUGAAAGAAACUUUACAAACCUAACAUGAAAACAAACCCAAAAAUAAUAGUAAAUCAUAUUGUAUGCUCUUUUCCAUUGCUGCCUUUACAUGAUUUGAAACCUGAUGAAGAGCUUAUUUGCCUUAAAGCUUGUUUUUUACCAACUGUAUCAGUUAAUCUAAUAAAAGAUAAUGACUAUACAAACUCUCUCCUCACAUACAUUUCACAGAGUCUAGAUAGAGGGGAAAAAAUUAAGUUUGAAAACCCUACUUGUGCAGUCCCAUUGAAAGGACAACGAAUUUGUCUGGAUGCAAUAUGUAAUAAAUAACCCUAUGGGAAAAAAACAAAACAACAAAAAAAAAAAAGCAGAAACUCUCACAGCAUGUGCUUUACAAACUUGAAUAACUUGGACAUUUAAAUUGUUUUGUUUGGUCUCUUGCAUAUGGCAAAAUGGCCCAAUUGAUGCACUAAGUACCAUCAGUAUUUCAUUUUUAAGAAUUUAUCUGUUCUCCCUCCCCCUCCCCAUGAUGAUGGAGGAUAGGAUCAGUUUAGUAUCUGGAUCGCUGGCAGUGCACUUGAGUGCUGGUGAGUCAGCUAGAUGGGAAUGCUCCCUCUGAGUCAGUGCGGAGCCAGCCUCCCAGCAUGGUGCUUGGGGACACUCUGGUGCUUGAGCUGCAAUCAUUUAGAUCAGAGAAAACCAAAGCCCUGAACAGUUGCGGUCACUUGAGAUCAGAUGGAAAAAAACAGAGAGAUUAUGCCAGUAUCCUCAGCAAACUCAAAAGAAGACAAGAAUUGCACUAGGCCAGAUCUGCUCGCACUCUGCCAGGAAUCUUGGAGAUCCCAGGCUGCAACAAUUUUAUAGAAUGAUUGUGUCCCAUGUUGGUUGGAGAGGAAGUGAUUUUCAGCUCAUAAAUUCAAUAUGAUUUUGGACUCCUUUGAGAAAUCCAAGCAAAAAUUUCUUCAGAAAGUCAUGUUUAAAAUAGUUUGUUCCACCUGUGCAUUGGAAAGGUAAGCAUAAAUAUGCUGUAAAUUGAGCUGUAUGGGGUGCAGGGUUUUAAUGCUGUUGCAACUCUUGAUUUCCCUAAAAGGACUUCAACUUUGAAAUUUGAAGGAAAAACUUGUAAAAUCGGUGAAUAUGCUGAACCAAGCAUAUUUACAUUCUGCAAUAUACAUUCAGGAUGAGAAGGUAUUGAAAGCAGAAGAAUAAACCUGUGAGUUUCAUUCCAUGUGCAGCGUUCCUGCCUGUAUCAUAUAACAUGUGUUCUCAGGCAAUCAGAGGGUGAACACUGAGCAUGUCAUAUAUGUAAGAUAUUGUGGUGGCAUUAGCUGUGGUUCAAAGAACAGCCAGAAGUCUGUCAGUCAAUAGCCAAAGGGUAAUACAUACUCACCUUUCUUGGAAAGAGAUAAGGUACUGGGAUUGUAGCAGCUCAGUAUACAGAAGCAAACAGGAAGGGAUUAAAAAAAAACAAAACAAAGCUACCUAAAACAAGUGAUAACAUCACUUUUUUUUUUUUUUUUUUUUUUUUUACUGACAGCUUUAAAAAUCACUUAAGAUCCACAUAAAAGUACAAUAUGUAGGAUUCAAAUAAACACAAAUGGCCUACUAAUGCACUAGCAUGUAUGUAAUUAUUUUAAAAUCUGGUUGCACAACAAUGAACUCUGCUUUUCAUCUUAAUCGCAUUGAGGAAAGAGAUUUCUGUGGUCUUGGUAAAAUGCAAUCCACGCCAGGCUUGGACUAGUCUGGCCACCCAGGUUUGCCUUUUCAUAUAUCUGAUAGAUGUGUUUUGACAAGUUAUAUUAAGUACAAAGCAGGCCACCAGAGCAGCAUGUGGAGUUGAUAUAGACAGAGACAGAAAGGCAAAUAACAUGAACACACUUUUGUAGGCAAUAUUUGCCAUAACUGAGUACCCCCCAUACCUCAUAUUACCACAUUUCAGUAUAUAAAGAAAAAAGUUAUGCAAUAACCAAGACAUGAAAACUUUAAAACGACAACACUUUAAACAGGAUUUACAGAUCUUACAUGUCCCUUAUCUAAGACAAUAUUUUAAUUUGGUUUUUAAGAACUGAAUUAUCCGUCCUUUUAUAACUUUCAUUUUAUACUGUCUUGAUUAAGGGAAAUGUUGAUAUCUCUAUUAUCACCCAAUUCUUGCCUUCCAUCGAUACCAGCACGCCUUUCAUUUAGGCACUCCCUCUGGACACUCAUGCAGAAACUUAAGGGGGAAAUGGGGGGGGGGGGGGGGAGGGAAGGGGUUGGAGAUUUCUGGCACCUGAACUGUAUGCCCUUUUCUUUCACAACCAUCUUGAGUACAUCACCGUCACCCUCCAGAGAGCUCCUAAACAAGUUUUGGCAAUAGUAAAAACAAACGCUAUUUUACAUCUUUGGAUGCACUUCCAAAAUGCAAAACUAAUUAAUCAGUAGUCUCCGAGAGACUCAGCUAAAUGUGGCUGCCUCUUUGACACUGAUCUCUGCUUUGAUGUGAAUAUAGAAAGCAUGUGAGCAACUCCCCUAAAAGACAUAAUGGGUUUCAAUUAUUUAUUUGUUUAGAAGACAGAGUAGUAGAAGGUUAGCAGUAAAUACAUAGCUAAUCCUGCUUAGGCCCUCCCAGCAGUGAGGGUGUUUAACUCCCUGCUUUCCUAUACAGUUUCUGUACAGGAUGCGGUAAGAUGCCUUUCUUUGGCUGUCAUUGUGCCAAGUUCUUUACAAAGCGGAAUAUACUAAAAGGACAUGUAUACUGUCAAGCCACACAUAAAGACUGUUAUUUUUAAUUAUUCAUUAUCAACACUAGAGAGCUGCUAGCUCAACAUAUAGGCCUUUCCCUUUGCUGCAUUUAACUGUCAUUGGUUUUCAAGUCAAGAGUGUGUAUUCUAAACGUUAGCUAGUCAUUAGCAUCAUAUUCUCCAGACACAAUAUAAUCAUCCUAAUAAUUGAUUGUAGUGAAGGUAGUCACUUGUAUCCCACACAAUUCUCAGCCAUGAACUUUGUGCUCGGUAGUUUAUUACUCACAGAGAAACAUCUUGAUGCUAUAAUCUAUCUUCCUCACGAAUUUACAUCAAAGGGCAAAAAGAUACAUACUGCUAUAUUGCUCCUUCAAAACAUAGCACUUGUAUGAUGCUGUAAAAGCACCUACUUUUUCUGAAAAGCAUAUUAUUAGUAAAUGUGAAAUUAAAAAAAAAAAAAAAACCAGCAACAACAAAACAACAAAAAAACACCCACUAAGUAAAAGCUUUCCUCAUAAAGGUUAUGCAUACACGGAGAGAGAAAGAAUGCAAGAUUUUUCUUUGAAAAUAAAACCUGCUAAAUUAUAGUGGGAAGCCUUUUGUGUCACAAACAAAAGGAAUAUAUUGAUAGCAGGCUAAGAGAAGCUGCCAAUAGAAGUGGGAAAAAAUCUACAAUACUUAUAUGAUAGAUACCUUAGAAAAAUGCCUGCUUUCCUUGUUGACCAGACCAAUUCAAAAUCAUUUCACAUUCUUAAAUCAUUUAUUAGUUGCAUAAUUUCUCUCUCCCCCUUCACAGACAUGUGUAGCACAAUAUGUAGAAGGUUUUGAAGAUUUCAGAUGUUUAUUUAUACUAGGUCUAAAUCUGAUUUUACUACAGACAUUCACUGAACCUAAAUAUAGUUCUUCAAAGGUGAAAAUGCGAAGGGACAAAAAUAAGUCUCUGAAAUAUUUAUAAAGAUAUGAAGGAAAAAAGUAUAUAAAUGGUAAAUAGUAGUUAAUUGUAAACUGAUUCUUAUCCAAUCCUGCUAUCCUCAGUCACAAAACUGAUAUUUCUCCUCUGGAAGAUAAAAUGGGAUUUUUCCAUACAUACAUAAGUUUGUAUCUGUGCACAAAGCUCUUGUGACAGCAGUAAUUAAUCAUCUACUUUGAUAUAAUAAAUCAAUAUCUUAAAAUUUGGGGAGACUCAUUUUCAUCUGUACUUUGCUCAUAUAUUUUUUUGCAAUUUUGAGUUGCUGCUCUGUUUUUCAAGGCAAUGCACAACAGUAUAAUGAUACUUAGUCGACUCUUUAAAGAUAUUAGAAUACCUUGUACCAAACACUGAAUUAUUUAGAAUCAGGAGUGAUAUGUGAUUUUGUGAUUUCUUGCUUACUUGUCUGAUUCGUAACAAAAACUUUUAAAAUCAAAUAUCUUCCCAAAGUUAUCCUGGCAGUGUUUUGUGCCAAGCAUAACAGUAUGAUAUAGCCUUGUGAGGGAAAAGCCUUUCUGUAUCUAAAACAGAAGAUGACUAAUUUAUAUAUGCUGAACUGGAAGGUCCUAAAUUUGCAGGCAUAUUUUGCAUGUAUGGGCUUGACUUUUGUGUUAUUGUCUGCUUUAUAUUCUUCUAGCUGUAGAAUGAUGUGAGGAGGUCCCAGUUUAUAUUUCAUUACUGUCACUACAGGACUUAAAACAAAUGGAUGUGAGGAUGUAAGACUGCAGAUCAGUAAGUGUGCAUUUUAUAGCAAAUCACCUUACUAAUCCAGUUACUUAUUGUCUCCCAUUCCAUGUUCUCUAGUGGAAUAAUAAUUAUAGAAUUAAUCACAUAAUGGCUAAGAUUGGAAGGGAUGUUAAACAUCAUGUAGUUGCAACCCCUGCCAUGAUCAGGGCUGCCACCCACCAGAUCAGCUGCUCAGGAUCCCAUCCAAUCUGGCCUUGAAUGUCUCCAGGGAUGGAGCAUCCACAACCUCUUUGGUUGUGUCUAGUGCCUCACCACCCUCUGAGUAAAGAAUUUCUGCUUAACAUCUAACCUAAAUCUCCCCUCUUUAAAUCUGAAGCCAUUUCCCCUUGUUCUGUCACACAAGAUAGACCACUGAGCAGCUCCACCCAUGACCUGCCACCUGAACACAGCAACAUUAACAACAACCCUCUGCAUGUGACCAUCCAAAGAAUUCUUAAUUCACCAGAGUACACCCGUCAAAUCUAUAUAAUUAUGAGAUAAGAAUGUGAUGUGGAACCAUACCAAAGGCUUUACACAAGUCCAUGUAGCAGACAUCAGUUGCACUUCUUUUUCUCACCAAUGCUGUCACUCCAUCAUGUAAGGCCACCAGAUUUGUCUGGCACCAUCUGCCCAUGGUGAAGCUGUGCUGGCUGUCUCAGAUCACCUCCUCAACUCACAUGUGCCUGUGACAUAGCUUCUAAAAUCUUCUCCUCAUGAUCUUCCCUGGAACAGAGAUUAGGCUCACUAGCUUGUAGUUCCCCAGGUCUUCCUUUCUCCCUUUUGUGAAAAUGGGAGUGAUGCUUCCUUUUUUUUUUUCAGUCACUAAGUACUUUGCCUUACAGCCAUGACUUUUCAAAUAUGAUGGAGAGUGCCUUGGCAACCAUAUCAUCCAGUUCCAUCAGGUCCCUGGGGUACAUGCCAUUCAGUCCCAUAGACUUACACACAUUCAGUCUUAUGAGGUAAUCUUUGACUUCCUAUUGCUUGGAUAUUGCUACCCCAACCCCUGCCUAGAGAUUCAGGAAUGUAAGAGGCAUGGGAAGCCUGACUGACUGGGAAGACUGAGGCAAAGAACUCACUUUGGCUUUCCUGAUGGUUGAAACUCUGCAUGUUCAGAUGUCAUCCCUGUUUUCUUCCUAGGCCGUGUGUCCCUGCUUCCACUGCCUGUUCUUUUCCUUUAUUUCCUUGAGUUUGUCCAGCAGAUUCUUGCUUAGUUAUACCAGUUUCCAGCCUUCUCUGCUUGAUUUCUUACGCUCGGGAGUGCAGAGCUUUUGUCCUCUCAGAAAGAUGUCUUCAAAGAGAUGCCACCUCUAUUCCAUUACUAUGUCUUUAAGGACAGUCUUCCAGGGGAUCCAAUUUAAUAAUUCCUUAAAAAGCCAGGAGUUCACUCUCCUGAAGUUCUACAUUCUGACUCUGCUUUUUGCCAGGGCCAUAUUCCCUAAGAUUGUGAACUCAUUUAGGGUAUGGUCGCUACAAUCCAGAGUGCCUUCGAUCAAAACUUCUUUAAUGAUCUCCUUCAAUAAUCAUGUCUAUCAAAAUACCCAUAUAAUUUGACUGUAUGGAAAGGUGUGAGAAUAAAAUCCAGGUCUUGUACAAAAUAAAAUGAAGGACCAUUACUUAUUUAACCUUGACAGCGCCGUUUGAUGUGACUAUCAAUACCUAUGCUUAACUUAACAUGUAAGCUAGACAAAAGAACUGAUGGAACUGAAAAGAUUUCACAGAGAAGGAUUACUUGGAAAUUAAUCUGCUUUGUUUUUUUCUAUUUAUUUAUUUUUUAAUUAGAGGAAGUUCUGUAGUCAACGAAAAUUUUCAGAAGUCAUCUGGGUCUCGUAGUGACAAGAGCUACAGAAAGACCCAGCAGAACAAGGAGGAGAUAAUUAGUAGCCAGUUCAGUCUAGUUUUUGUACCAAGGACUCAUAAUCCAUGAAACACUGGAGAAAAGCAUUAGUGUUUAAGAUAGCUGUGGCUGAGCCAUGAUCAUGAAAAUAAUAACUUUCCUUUAAGAUAGGAGACUCAAAUUAGAAAAAAAAAAAAAAAAAAAAGGUGAUAUUUUCUCUUGUUCUGUGAAAGUGAAUAAAAAAACUUGAUUUUAUCAAAAUUUUUGUUUAUUAUUUAUCUUGCAUUACAUCCUUAACUAAUUAUUCAAACACCACUCCAAUUUUUUGCACAAAACCUUAGUAAGUUUAUAAGCUGUACAAUUUCUAUCUUCUAAACUAUUCACUAGAAACUUUAACAUAGAAACCAUGAGGAUGCUCAACAUUACACAUUACUUUUUGAAGUUGUCAUUCAUACCAGAUACAACUCAAACAAAACUACUCACAGCUAUUUGUAGUCAGUUUUUCAAUAGCAAUGAAUAGAUUUAUUUCUACUUUCUUCUUGUAGAAAAAGAAAUGCUUCUAAGAGAUGUUACUCAGAAACAAAGGAGAAUUGGGGAGCCUAAUGAACUCAGUGAGCUUUAACUCUCAUUUCUAUUAACAUUUUCAUCUUUGAGGGAGCAAAUAUAUCUUCAAAUUAAUGAAAUCUGUAAGAAGAAAUAGUAUGAAGUAGAUUAGCACUUUGCAGAUAAACUAGCAUUUUAUCAACUAUAGUGUUAAUUUGCGGUAUAGAUCUUCAAAUACAUUUCAUAUUCUUUUUGAGGCAUUCUAAAGCAUUUUGCAUUUUUCUGCUCAUAAUUUUUAUUUAUUUAUUUAUUUAUUGGAAAUAUGAUUAACUAACAUUGUUCAAGGACCUGGUCAGUUUCUGUUACAUUAAUUCUCAUGUGGCUAGCUGGAAUCUUUGACAACUCCUUAGUCUUACUAUACAACUCUUAGUCCACAUGUUUUUGAAGACAUCUGGAAGAGUGUCAAUUUUCUAGACUUGACAGUAGAACAAACUUCUAAAUCUUUUUGUUGUAUACCUUUAGAUUUUCCUCUCUUCUGUGUAAACUGAAUAUAGGAAAGUACAUUUCAGAAUUCCAUCCCAAGGAGCUCUUUUUCAGUGAAUGUCUUGUUCACCAUUUCACUAAUCCAUCCUUUUCAUGCAAACAUAUAACAUUCAUGCAGUGUACAAACAUUACCCUGAUGUGACAAUUUUUUUUAACUAGUAAGUAGUUUAUAACUCAGAUGUAAUUAAUGAUUAAAUAUUCAAUGAAAAGGUAAAGAAAUUUGGCCUGAGUAGUCCCAGUGCUUGCUGAAUUCAUUUGCUCCUACUUGUGCUUGUUGUGUGGAAUAUUUAGUAGUCUUCAGCACAAAAAAUCUUUGUUCAGUCAAGGGAAUGUAAAUAUUUGCUUAUUCUUUACAAAAGAAUAAGGUCAAGUUUUACUAAAUUGCCCAUAUCACAUUUUUCAAUACUAGAAAUUUAUCAACAGCUUACAUUUUUUGUUGUAAAGGAAUAUUCAUUUAUCCACAAUAAAUAUAUUUAAUAAGUGACUGUCUAGCAUAAUAAUCCUCUUGCUUUCUACUUUUGUCACAGUGUGUAGUGUUUCACAGUGUGAACAGCAAUAAUGAUCAUGUGUUCAUAUGAGUAGAUUCAUUUUGGCAAGUCUUGUUAGUUGACAGGUAUGUAAUACACUUGCCUUGCGGCUUUGGGACCAGGUUUCAAAUACAGCCUUCACUGAAGUGACUGAAAAUCAUUCAGAUCUCAUAACUGUAUCAAGUGACAAGUAACGUGAAUUCAGUCAGUAUGUAUAUGGGACCUGAUGUACACUAUCCAGUCAAAAAUGCUUCCCUUUAUUCAGUUGCACUAUUAUGUCUGACCAUCAGAAAGAAGAUACUUAAGGGAAGGGAUUAAGGCCAGCAACACAAACCUAUCUUUCCAAAUAUAUUCAUGUCUUCCAACAAGACAUUUAUGUGCCCAACAGCUGUUUCCUUGGUUUUUGUACUCUUUGUCCACUCAAGGAACUCAAGUCCCUCGCAUAUAUAAUAAGGGCACUGUACUAAUUGUCAACAUUAACUGCCAAAAGCAGAAAUUCUAUCAAGUUGAUGUUGACUCAUACAUGAACUUGUCCUGAUUCGGCUACUCUUUAACGCUGCUGGACACCUCUCACUGAUAAUGUUUUCACUACUCACCAAAGAGUGCCAAAUGUUGGCAUCUCAUUCAUGCUUGUCAUUGCCAUGAUAUCACACAUUACCGUCUAAGAGGAAACAAGGUUUCACUGUAGUCUUUAUUAUAUCACAUACAAGAAACAUUUCAGUCAUGUGAAUUCAUGGUUAGAAAAGGAAAAUGGAAAUUAUAUCCAGCACAGCUAGUGGUCCUGAUGUCUCUAGGUAUUUCAUUCUAGUUUUUAUUUUUUAUCCCACCUUUAUACAGUAUAAAAUAACAAAUAACCUUAGGUCUAAUACUUAAAUGCUUAUUGGGCACUUAGAGAAAUUCAGCUGGUUUUGAAUGUUUUUAUCCAUAGGCACAAUGUACAGUGGAAAAUGAAUUGCAAGUAUGUUGAUUUUACUGUAAGUAGCUCAGAAGUCAUUUGUUUUCCCCCCUAAGUAAGAAAGUUUUACAUAGGUGGAGAGUCUUCUAGCUUAAAGAGGAAGGAAAUUCUAUGUAUUUUCACCUACUGGCAUGAUUAUAAUACAUGGUUACUAGCAUGGAUGGAGACGAUUGCUCCUAGCAAUUUUUUUAAUAAGCAAUUACAUAAUCUGUAGAUGAAAUAAAUCAACUAGUGCAAUUACACUUACUUGAUGAUUGCUAAGUGGUUAGGGUUGGUAUCAUGGACAUCGCUGCUGGUAACAUCACAAUUGUAUCAUUCAGACAAAUUCCAGAUAAAACAGAUUUUCUUCAGAAACAUGUUUCUGAAUAAGCUACACACAAGAGAAAAAAAAAUAGCUAUCAAAUAAAAAUACACUGUAGUGCAGUCACUUCACCUGCUUUCCAUGCUGAGUUGCUCAAGACACAAUUUUAGGGAAACUGUAGGAUGUCUAGUCCUCGUGUUGAUAGCUUGUGUGUAAGCACAUGAGAAUCAUGUGUAUUCACUGCGACCUGUAAAAAAAUUCCUUUACAUUACAUCUAAUAGCCCUACUUCUUUUUUGCUCUAACAUCACUGCAAUGAACAUUGCAGAACAGUCUCACGUUUUCACAAGUCUUAGUAAAGUUAAUAAAUGCCUGCAAAACACUUCAGCCUAGAACUUCAAAUAACACCAGUCAGAGGAGCUUACUGAAAUCCAGUGGAAUUAUUUGCAACAGAUUUGGCUUGCACAGUGUUCUUGUUCCUUAAAGCCAGUUUUCAUAUAAACAAAUGCAACAAAUAUGAAUUAUAUUCAGAAUAAUGUGAAUAGGAAUAGUAGUUUUAUGUUGAAUAAUAAUUGGGUAUGUAGUUAGAAAAUAUUAUAGGUUCGACUAUCUCAUGUGCAUAAAAGUUUGAGUACACAUUUCAACAAUGUGAUGACUAUAAUUGGUAUUGUUUCUAUGGUUCAUAGAACUAUACUCAUACUAUGCGGCAACUGUCUUGGAGCUUCUGUGUCAGAAUUGUUCCAUAUAGCAGCUUGCCCAUAAACAUCCUCUAAUCAGAAGUUCGAUCUGUUCUCUUCUUUAUAAUUCCAAAACUACUUUGUAGAGCAAUUAAUUUGGCUAAAUGUCUUGUGAGCUAUAUUUAAAAGUUCAACAUACGUUCAAAUGUUAGAACAAAUAUACUGCAAGUUGCCAUGGCAUCUGCAUUUGUAAACAAGGUACUGGAGAGAGGCCUUUGAUUCUUGUGGAGGGGGUGGAAUACAGGAGAAGGUGAAGAGAACAUGCAACUUGGGACAUAUUCUUUAUUCUUUAUCUUUUGCAGAUUUAAAACUUCUGAUAUGAUAACUCAAGAAUUAGAACAAUUUCACAGUUGAAGUGUAGAUUUGUACAUGAAAGUCUCCUAAAGAUUUAGUGUCCAACUUUUUAUUAUCUAACAUCCAUUCCAAUAGCAGGCCACUUAAAAAUGGCUACCACUUAAAUCAAUUAGAACCAUUAGUUAAGUAUAUCUAUCUAUCUAUCUAUCUUUCUAUAUAUGUAUAUACAUAUAUAUAAAAAUUUCCAUUAGGACUUAAAUGAAGGUUUAUUGUCACAAACACUGCAAUUCUUAAUAAUUUUUUUUUAAAUCAAGAUGAUAAAGACCAGGAUAUUUGAUUUCUGUCAAAUAAAUUAAAAUUCCAUUUGUUAACAAACUACAAACAAAAUUGACUUUCCAAAUGGGAAAGCAAAAGGAAUUAAUCUGCUCAUUCACUUCUUAUUCAUGGACUGAGAGAAACUGGUAAAAAACAGACUGAGCUAACAACUAAUUAGUGUAUCUUCAUCUUUCUUUAUGAAGAAAGUCUCAGUUCACAAAUGUAUGCAGAAAGCCCUCACUCAGGAAUGGGGUCCAACAACUUAGAAAAUGACACAACAGUUCUGUAGGAAUAUUUUCAUUUUUCUUAAGAGAUACCUAAAGCAUUGGAAAGUGUAUAAUGCCUUUUCUCUUCUACCUUUUACCCUUCCUUGAAAUGAUGGACCUGUGAACUCAUCAGAGACAACUGGCACUGGCUGUCAGACACCAGUCACUGCACACAGACCUCAGAAGUAGGGACAAAGAUGCUGGAUUUUUAGGUAGGAAAGAAAUCUUUGCAAAAUCUUCCUCUUUGAGACUGUUGUCAGCUAGCCUAAUCUUACUAUCUUUUCAGCAUCCCCAUGUAUAUCUGGAAUUAUUUACAUUUAAAAAAAUAUAUAAAACUGUGAGAAUAUAGCUGAGAAGGCAUUAAACCCCUUUUUAACAUUUCCUACAUUUAUUUUCUGUCAAUAUGAUAGAUCUUUUUCACCCACUGCGACAUUAGCAGGCUGAGAAGUACAUAGGUGAGAAUGAAAAUACCUUGUGGGAUUUAUGGGCUUGGGCAGCACAAAGGGUCACAAUGCUGUUCUGUGUUAAGAUUCUACGCAGAAAACAAUUCAGAUUUCAGCUUAAUGUCCAGUCCUUUACAAUAGUCAGCCAAACCUGGCCUUUAAGGCUCCUCCACCCCUAAUUACUGCCUGAAGCAGGCUCACAACAGAAUAACUAUUUAGCCCAGAGGUGAAAAUUUCCACUUUAAAAAGCAGAGGUGGAAAAUGCGAACCUUCCCUCUGGAUCAAAUGUUCAUAUGCUCAUGAAAAUAUCAGGCGUUUUCCUCUUGCUUGGCUUACAAAUAUUCUCACACACACACACAGAAGAAUGGGUACUUUGCACAACUGCAUUGCAGGGAGCCUGGGGGCAGCAGUGCCAUGCAUUCAAGAAUUACCUAGGGGCUCUUCAAGACAGGCCACUGGAGGCGGAGGUGACACAAUGAAUUCGGAGAAAGUGGAGGAGUGCUGGCUGAAUUGAUUCUUAUGCAUUCUCUGUAUUUAGUAAUACCCACAUAUUGGCAUUGACAUUAAUUUCAGAGGCAGAGGGGUUGAGAUGCAACGUGGCAUUCAUAAUGAAUGCUGAUAGAAGCAAAAUGGGAACAAUACUAAAUAGGACAUAAUUAAAUAUUAUUAUAAGCUAAAGUUAAACUUGCUUAAGAGAAAUAAUUCUCCUAAGAACUAUAUUUCAAAGACUGACAUUUCAUUGCUUGGCACAUUCCAGCAGUGACUAAGAACUGAACAAAGACAAUGUCUAAGAAGACCAGGCAGCAGAAUAUUACACUUCAAUUUUUAAUGUGUGAAUGAAUGUAGUGUGCACUUAAGGGAGGAGGUGGUAAAGCAAGAAGGUUCUAUGCAAAAUUAUGUCAAACACUCUCUGUCUCUGAACUAUCAGAGCCCUUCUCAGCUACUCUUGGUUCCUUCUGCAGAAAACAAAGGUAUGUGCAGCUGAGUGUAGGAAGGUCUGGCUUAUUUCUCUGGGGUACUAACUCUACACAAAACAGAGAUCUUCACCUAAGAAAUGACAGCUCAUAACACAAAUAACCUGAGCAAUCUAGACCUCAUUGUCAUUUUUAAUUUGUUUAUGAGCUCAUAAAAGACUCUCAAGUUUAAUCUUUCAGUCAUAGUGAAGGUUGGGAGACUGAAAGUUGGGGGGGAUGACACUCACCAUGCUAAAUAUAGCAAAACAAAUAGAAUUUUGCUCUCCUGUAGGGAAUAGAAUAUUAUGAAAACCCCUGCAAAGACUACACUUUUUCCAUAGGGUAUGCAAUACAACAGUUUCUGGAGCAAAAACAUGUCUGUAGAAGUACUGCUAUGCAAGUAGCAAGCCUUUCAGUGACUAACCUCAACCCUAGAGCUGAUUUGCUGCCCAGCACUAGAGCUUCCAUUGCCUGUCAUCAUUCACAUGCAAUCCUUCUGAAUUAGAAAAUCUUCCUUCACUUUCCCCAUAUCUCUUACUACUGUAAACUCUAUCACCACCUAAUACCUCAAACUCACUCUGACCAAUGCAUUUUUUCCCUUUUGUGAUCUGCCCAUGUUAUAACCUCUGGUUACACCUUCCCAGGUGUGGCCAGUUGGUCUUUCAGACAUCCUUAUUGACAUGAGGUUUCAACUAGCAGCUGUUUCUCAAGGUGGUGUGCCUAUUAAUUUGAUAUUCUCAAAAUAUCAUUCAAGACAAUCUUGGUUCCCUCCAUAAAGAUGUUCUAUGUUUUAGUAUGGGUAGUAUUUAGUAGGGUAUUCUUAACUUAGUCCAACUUGAUGUAGCUGCUCGUGGUUCAGGUUGGACAUAGCUGCUUCUAGGAAAACAACUAAUAAGAAGCCUCAUUCAGGGAUUCAUAGAGUGGAAAAGCUGCUUAUAUAACAUCAUUUCUUUUUUAUAUGCCUUUUUGGUGUUGUAUGCAACACUUUGCUAUGCUGUGAAGUUCUGUUGUGAUUGUUUAACUUCUUAGGCUUGCUGUUCUCAUGCAUAUUCAGUGUUCUGUGCAUUAACCAAAUUUAUUGUGAAUUAAAUGUCAGCAUAAAGAAUUUACCAUGAAAUAGUGGUGUCCUGGUACCUGGACAAUCCUCCACUGGCAUGGUAUUGAGCUCUUUCUUCACCUUACAUCUUCAUUUCAGUCACCCUUAUGCUCUUCAAAAUAAAAAUACAUAUAGUGAAAACCAGUCUUAAUAUACAGAAGGAAGAAUUCACUUUCCAUGUUCAUGAAAAAAUGAGAAAGACACCUCCAGACACCUUUCUCACCCACCCUUCUGAAACAGCCUUUGCAGGAAUCAAUGGUCCCUACAUAGCUGAUGCAUGCUUUGAAUGGCAGAAGUACAAUGUCUUAUAAAGUUAUAAUCAGGCUAGAUCUCACUAAUCUGAGUUAUAGCUCAACUGUGAAGGCUCUUUUGAGUAAAAUCAUUUCUUUAUUAAUGAGAUUCAGCUCAAUCUCACUGAUAAAAAUUACUUUAAAAGAUGUCCCUUUGCUGCUAUUCAAAUGAAUGGGAGAAAACGGUGGGUGUUUUAAGAGCUGUCUUCCUGUCAUAUCAGGAUGGAUCUCAUUAGUGAAAGGAAUGAUUUUAGCAGGAAAAAGCUUCUACAAUGAGAAAACAUAACCUACCAUACAUGAGCAAAAUCCAAGUCAAUUAGGCUGGGGGAAAAAAAAAAAAAAAAAAAAAAACCCUCUUAAAAAAUCUCACUGCUCCCAUUCAUUUUAUUAACAGGAGAAAGGACAUUUCCCUCAAAAAAAAAAAAAAAAAAUUCUUUUUUUAAUUUGAACUGGACUGGAUCUCAUUAAUACAGAAACUAUUUUACUUAAAAGAGCUUCCAGUAUUAGCCUACUGUUCAACCUUGAUUAACAAAAUCAAACAUGAUUGUGGGGGGUGGGAAUAACUCAAAAGUGUUGAAUCUAUUUCGAAAGCAUUACAUUUGAUUUAAGAAAUGGGCAUAAGGGGAUUAUAAUCCACAACUACUUUUAAAGUGACUGAAAUACAUUUGCCCAGGUAAGUAUAUAAAUCUGUGCUUGGAACCUCAGCUAGAUAUGGUCAAUUGUAAAUGACUGACAGAAAUGCAAUUCAAACAGUUUACAAGUACAGAGAGACUCCCUUCAUGAUUCUAAAGUAACCUCUCUGUAAUUACUCCUUAUCCUUUCCCUCAAAAGAUCAUCAGGGAGGGCUAAAAGAGCCAUAAACUCCUAAGCCAUUCUUGUUUCUUCUAACCAUCAAAAGAAAGACAGGUUCAGCUGGGUUGUGGGCCAGAGUCAAUGUGCAAAUCUGUGUUUUUUCUCUUUCAUUGUCACCCUUUAUUAGCUUGGGAGAUCCUUAACAGCUAGAAUCUUGUUAUCAGAUCUCUCAAUUAGUAAUGUUCUGAAUGAAAAAAGACAUUGUAGAUAACGGAGGUUUGUUUGAUGAGGGAGCAGACAUGGUGAACUUCAUCUGUAAAAUGCUCACAGAAAAGAGGACAUGAGGUGAGACUGCUGCAGGUACAAGAUGUAGAGACAUAGCUGGGUGAAGAAGAAUGAAGAAGAUAUCACACUCAGUUCAUGAAACUGUACAUGCCUGGUAAUAUGUGUGCAAACAGAGUAUGGAUGUCUUUCAUGGACUGUGAUUGUUGUUGCAGGAUCAAAGAGACAACAGUGGUGACUGUAAGAACACAACUAUACACUUGUACAACAACUCUGGUUUCCUAUUACAGAGUUUUUAUAAUGUUCUGAUGCCUUAAUUCUUUUUUUUUUUUUCCAUUAUGUUCUUCCAAUAUAGCCAGCUGCAGAUACUUAUCCAAGUUGCAAACACAAACCUAGACAGAUUCAGCUUUUGAUAUAGAGAGCCCUAAAUUUUCAGUCAAUGUGAAGCUGUGCACACCUGUGCCUAUAGAUGCCCUUUGCUAUGUUCUGGUGCUGGAACUUCUGCAAUGAUUUCUCAAUGAUUCACUGCAGCUGCUGCUGCAGUGAGCUGAGAAUUCUGUAAGUAGGUGUGCCUUCACCACAACCAGCUCUGGGGGAGAACAUUUGUUUUUCCAUUAUUACCUUGUAACAAAAAUUAAUUUAAUGGACACAUUAUUUUUCAGAGUGAUUAAAAUAUCUCCUGAUCAGCAAAUUACUGAACAUGUUUGAAAUUUAGUGAAAACGUAUUGCAAGGAAAGAAAGUAUUAAAAACAGAUUAUUGAGUAAGGCAUUCAAAAAACUGGUAGAUUCCUUGGCAUAUCCACAGACUGGAAUUUGAGGACUCUGUAAAUCCCUGAGCAGUGCUUCUAUGAAUCACAAAUGACCUCUGUAACAUACUUGACAACAUUUAGCAUAGAAACACAAAUGAAAGCACACACUAACACACAUACUCACAUACAUAUGAAAAUCCACAGUGACCUUUUACUUUUGAUAGGACACUUAGAGUGGGAUUGCCUCCUGUCAUUCAUGUUUUUAUAUACUCAGAACAUGUAAAAACAAAACUGUCCAUGUCAAAAAAUGCAGGUCCUGGCCUUUGUCUUUCCAGAGAAGAAAGAUGCUCUGAGGACUAAAUGCAGCUUUCUGAAAUAAAAGUACUGUAGGUGUAUCUAAUAUUAAGUGUUCAGCUUGAAGCUAGCAGUUAAGCAUGUCACAUUAUUACAUGCAUAACAUGAUGAGCUGAAAUGACAAAGUGCCAGUUUAACAGCAAAAUUAAAGCAACAAACACUGAUUUCUUCAAGGACAGCAGCUAUCAUCUUGCAUGGUGGCUUUGAGAAGUGAAAAUAUGUGGUACACAGCAAAAAAUGGUAUACCAGUGAAAAUAUGUAAGAACUGAGUUCUUUCUCUUUUGUUUUCAAGUUCUACCAGAGCAAGCGAACUCUCUGAAAUACCAAAUCAUGGUUAAGGAACACACCAAAUUAUAAAUACUGCAGCAAGUAUUCAGUGUAUGAAAGAAUGAUGAAGCCUGUUUAAAAAAAAAAAAAAAAAAAGUUAGUUUCAGCCCCUUUCACUGAAAUUAAAUUUAACACAUGCUUAAUUUGGUUCCAGCUAUUUAGUGCACCCCAAUCAGAUAUGUUUGAUACAUUAGAAAAUGAUCAUUUGGUGAAUCUUGUCAACCUUCCUUUCCAUGAAGGAUUUUGGAUCUUUUUCACAGUCAGACUCCACUAAGUUUAUCAAGAUUUUAAAAGAUACACUUUAAUUAGGUUAGUAUAUUAUUUAUGUUACAACUUUCCCUUGGUUAUGCUUAACAGAGCAUCUGUUUUCAAUAUUGCCAAAUACAAAAGAAGAAAUCAACAGAACAUAAGUUCUUCAUAUAAAAAUAUGCUACUUGAAUGAAAAUUAAAUUUUAAAUUCAGAAUUUGCAGUUCACUAUCAGAUUAUUAAAGAAAAAGUAUUUUCCAAGAGAUAUUUUGGAAGUAGAACUCUUCAUUUUCUAUUUUCAGGAUGUUUUAAGUAAUUUUGCUGCUGAAUUUAUCUAUUUAUUUAUUUAUUUAUUUAUUUAUUUAUUGAUCAAUUUUCUGCAUUAAAUCUUUAUUUUAGUUAUCAUCCUAAUGUAAAUAUUUAUUUAUUUAUUUAUUACUUUUGAAAUAUCAGUAGAUCAGUGUCUCUAAACAAUAAAUGCCACAAAGUAAAUAUAUUCUUACUAAAAACUGAAAAAUAUCCCAGAUCUCACAAUGAAAGUUUAGUUACAUAUUGGGAUCACUUGUAUUAUCACAUAUACAAAUGUUAAUUGAUGCAAACAGACAAAAAAAAAAAAAACAACAUAAACUUUGUUUAGUACAUAGUUGUAGCAAUCAGUGCUGAUUCUCAAUGUGAAUCUCAAGCAUCGUACUCCUAUCAUUUUUCCUUUUGGACCUCAUCUUGUGGCUGUGAGACAUAAAACCAGGAAAAGGUUUGCUUUCCAGAAGAAGAUGGAGAAUGCUCCAGGGCCAUUUAAACCUGUUUAAAAAGACAGACAUCAACUUCUCAGGCACUGUCUAUACAUAUACGUUACUUGGGUAGGUAACUGAAUAACUGUUUAUAUCAAAUAAUGUAUUAUAUGGUAGAUCUGGCACUUAAUAGGUCAAAUAGAAAUGAGAAAACACUGCUGUAUUUUACUCAUUAGAGUUUUAUUUUUCUAACAGCAAACUUCAAAAAAACAAAUGCCAUUCUGCAUCUUGUGUUUCUAAAACAACUAAAGUGCACUGUAACCCAAGUUCAACCAGAAGAUCAAGUGGACAUCCCACACACUACUUUACUGAUCUCAAAAUAAUGCCCUUCCAGAUGCCAAACUGCUCUGCAUUGCCUUGUGGUCCCCUAGGUCACCAGAGUCCCAUUUAAUUUCAUACAUCCCUGAUUUAAAACACUGGAAAACUGACACGUCUGGUUUCUGGCAAAUAACAGGGAAAAGAAAGUUCCAACCUCAAGCAUUUCUUUAGAAAAUACUAUGCCAAAGAUCAGUCUCUGACGGUAGAAGUACUGGAGCUUUCUGGUUUUUUUUCCUCAGCAGAGAAAUUUUGCUGUGUAGCAGAAUUCUGCACUCUGCAGUAAGUCACGGGCUGCUGUGUUCACUGAGGCUUUAUUAAUAUUGGUAUUAAGUUCCUUCUACACUUUGUCUAUGUGAGGGUUCCACAGUUUGGGGCACUUUACAUACAUUUACUGCAGAACCAAGCUACCCAAGAGAUAAACACAGGGUACAGUCGCACAUUGAUUGGUACUUUCUAGCAGAGUACCAUCUUUUAAGUUGAGGAAAUGUUCCUCCACCAUUCUUUCCUAAGGCAGUUGCCUCCUGCUCUUUUUUUUUUUUUUUUUUCUGAUCAGAGGACAGUCAUGAACAGCUGCAGUCUUUAUAGAGGCUUCUCCAUAAUGUGACAUCCAUCUUCAAAAAGGGCCAGAAUGAUGAUCCUGGUAGCUACAGACUUAUUAGUCUCAACUCAGUGCUGGAGAAGAUUAUGGAAGGAAUAAUCUCAGGAACCAUCAUGGACCAAUUAAAGGUCAAUCAAGGGAUCAGGCCCAGUCAGCAUGGGUUUAUGAACAGUAGAUCCUGUUUGACAAAUCUGAUUUCAUUCUAUGACAAGGUGACCCACUUGGUGGAUGAAGGUAAGGCUGUCAAUGUGGUCUACAUGGACUUCAGUAAAGCCUUUGACACUGUCCCCCACAACAUUCUUGUGGAGAAGCUGGCUGCCCAUGGUUUGGAUGGGUGUAUUCUCCGCUGUGUGAAAUGCUGGGUGGCCAGGCCCAGAGAGUUGUGGUCAAUGGAGUUAAAUCCAGUUGGCGGCCAGUCACAAGCAGCAUCCCCCAGGUCUUGGUACUGGGGCUGCUUCUAUUUAAUGUCUUUAUUAAUGAUCCUGAUGAGGAGAUUGAGUGCACCCUCCGUAAAUUUGCAGAUGACACCAAGCUGGGAGGGAGUGUUGAUCUGCCUGAGGGGAAAAGAGCACUACAGAGGGACCUGGAUAGACUGGAUCGAUGGGCUAAGGUAGACUGUAUGAGUUUCAAUAAGGCCAAGUGUCUGGUUCCGCAUUUUGGUCGCAGCAACCCCGGGCAAUCCUACCGGCUUGGGGAGGAGUGACUGGAAAGCUGCCUGAUGGAAAGGGACCUUGGUGUAUUGAUGGACAGUCAGCUGAAUAUGAGCCAGCAGUGUGCCCAGGUGACCAAGAAGGCCAAUGGCAUCCUGGCUUGUAUCAGGAGUGAUGUAGUGUGCAGGACUAAGGAAGUAAUCCUGCCUCUGUACUCAGCACUGGUGAGGCCUCACCUCGAGUACUGUGUUCAGUUUUGGACACCUCAGUACAGAAAGGACACUGAGGUGCUGGAGCAGGUCCAAAGAAGGGCAACAAGGCUUGUGAAGGGCUUGGGGAAUAUGCCCUACGAGAAGAGACUGAAGGAACUGGGUCUGUUUAGUUUGGGGAAAAGGAGGCUGAGGGGAGACCUUAUUGCUCUCCUCCAAUAUCUGAAAGGUGCUUACAGUGAGAGUGGAGUUGGUCUCUUCUCACUGGUGACAGGUGACAGGACGAGGGGAAAUGAAUGGCCUUAGGUUGUGCCAGGGGAAGUUUAGUUUGGAUAUCAGGAAAAACCUCUUUACAGAAAGGGUUGUUAAGCACUGGAAUAGGCUCCCCAGGAAGGUGGUUGAGUCACCAUCCCUGGAUGUAUUUAAAAACCAUUUGGUUGUGGUGCUCAGGGACAUGAUUUAGCAGAGGGAUGUUAGAGUUAGGGUAGUAUGAUUAGGUUGUGGUUGGACUUGAUGAUCUUUACGGUCUUUUCCACCCUGAACAAUUCUGAUUCUAUGAUUCUCAGCCUAGGAUCUUCUCAAACAUUUCAUACCUUAGGACAGGAGUUGCUUUCCUUCCCUAAAGGGUUGUGUUGAAUACUUCAAUAGGUUUCAGCCAUGCUGGAAAAGGUGUGCCAGAGUAGUUUGUUCAAGAUAUAGGCAUUGGUGCCAGGUCUGGAGCUUCCAGUAUUGCCCACCUCUCCAUUGUCCUCCAAGGGAUCCCUCCAGAGGGAAAAGGAGAGUACAGAAAUGUUCAGUGGUUAGUAAGUUGAUACCAGAGCUACUGCCAGAGGAACCAUAAGGAGACAAAUUGUCAUUAUACCCUCACUGUCUCAUAGCUCCAUUUUUAUCUUCCCAGAUGGGUUGCUACAUAUUCCGCUAGUUUUCAAAUUCUAGGAUCUCCGUAGAUACAGCUUCAUACACAUCUUUCUGCAGUAGUCUCUUUUUUAUGUAAUCAGGACAAUAGUAACUGCAGUGAUGUUCAUGUAGAAAAGGCUACCUCUUUUCUAAGUGGAACUGAAAAAUGUAAGUUGGUUGUGACUGCUAUGCAAACCAACAAUAGCUCAUGCAAGGCUAGUAAAUCAGAAACAUUUCAUUUCAGUCUUGUUUUAUGUUAUAAAAAAAAUUACUCCUGGACUGUUAUAGCUGUCUGACCCCUGUUGGGUCAACUUCCGCAGGUGCUUCAUAAACAAUUCCCUAAAGAUAGGGAAGAUCCAACCACUUCUAUCUCUCUUUCAAUGUAAAUAAGUAGGGAUAUACACUUCUUCCUAUCCUUACUCAUUGGCAGUGUCUGGAGUCUCCAUUAAAUAUGUCUUCAUUUCCAUAUGAAUCAUAUGCAAAAUUGCAUGCAGUACUGAAAAAUUAAACUGUCACAGAAAAAAAAAAAAAAAGACAAAAUUGUGAGUGAGGAGAAAAAAAGCAGGACUAUAAACUGAGAGUCUCUGGUUUCUAAUAUGGUGACAGAAUGGCAACUCCCUCUCCCCUACUCAGGAUAUGAAAGCAUUGCUUCCAUUCGAGUAUUCAGCACAUAUAGCAAUCCAAAUGAUGAAACUGACCAGGCAAAUUCUGCCCUCACCAAGACCAACGUAAAUCUGGGUUUGUGUCCUGGAAGGGACUGCUGUGAGUUCGUGCUGGGAAAACUAAGAAUAGAGUUUGAACCCCUGCCAUAAGAAGCAGUGAAAAUCCAAACAGAACAGUCUUAAAAUGUCAGAGUUCAUUUCUGGUCUUAAUAGCUGUGUACAACACCCCUGCUACUUCGCAAAAGGAGCUGGAAGGUCACUGUCAUUUCUGGUCUUGAAGACAUGUGUCACUCAUUUCCAGCCUCUUCUGAUAUUUGACAGUGUGGACCUGCCUGGAGCACAGCAAGAAUAAAGGAUGACACAGCUCACUGAGCAAAAUUUCAUUAACAAUUUUCCUCCUACUCAAAUAAGAGCUCACCUCUGACCCCAAAAUGUAGAGUUUGCUACAGAAGAGGCACUUGCGAGGGCUUCAGUUAAUACAAUCCAGUCUUUGACAAAGUCAAAGUCACCCAUUCUGCCUUUGAAAGACUGUGUGAAUUGAUAACAAUCUUUGAUAGAAGGCUGAAUAAUCUAUAAGAGAGAGAUGGGCCACUUCAGAAGGCCAUGUUUUUUAUUGUCUAGUCUGAUCUGAGUUUGCUGUACCAAGUGAGUCCAAAAUCACUAAUUCUCUGUGAAAACCACAGCAUAUCUAAGAGCUAUAUUUGUAUAUUCAUACUUCUGUGAUAAUUAAUAGUUUACUCUUAAUUUGAAAAUCAGAUUGUAUAUUUCAUUUCAAUGAAAUAAGAAAUUGCAUUAAAAAAUUAAUUGCUUGCUUGCCCAGAAUUCUCUGUGUUGCAGUAAGACACCAAUAGUCUUCCUCUUACUGAAGCAUGAUCUCUUCAAAUGAUAGAGUUGGUACCUGAAUUAGAAUGAUAUAAAUCUUGCCUUAUGACAAACAAAGUUGCUUGGAUCAAGCAGAUGCUAGAUUCACCACGAUGUCUGAGAUGUCUUCUAAUUUAAACACAGCUAUAUAGGUCUAUAUAUAGCCAAAUGCAUUCUGUAUCAUUGUAACACAUGAUUUGAUAAUGGAGGCUUUACGUUCUUAUUGAAGGUAUAUCAUGGAGUUUCAUUCAGGUAAGAUCAUACCGGUUGCCCAUAAAUGUAAAAACUAGCUCCCAACCAUCACAUUCCCACAUUUUGGAAAAUUUUAGAUUUGAAGUUUGAGGAUUAAACUAGCUUCUAAUAUAAAAUGCCACUAGUUGCAUCAGUAAUGUCUUCAAUUCCACCUGCCCAGACACAAACUGCAAGUAUCUUAAAAAAAUGGUGUCACAGAGAAUUUUAUAUCAGUAGGCACUGCUCUUCUGUGCAGAAAAACAUGUCUGGAAGAGUGUCCCAUCACAGUAACUUAAGAAUUUCCACUCUGGUCUGCAAAAAUGUUAAAGUUUAGGUUUAUUACAUAGAAAAAUUUGGGGCAGGAAGGAGUGAUAUGAACAAAUUGCAGAGACAAUGAAAAGCUUAAUAUUAUUUGCAUGUUUGAUUUAAAAUUAAAUUAGAAUUUAAAGACAGUUGUGGUGUAGGAGUGCGAUCAUUUUAAGUAAGCAGUGUCUUAUGUUGUUUUCAUUUAUAAUGUUCACAGUGAGUGGAGAGAGCUGUGACUGAUUAAUAAUCAAUAUAUGCAAGAUCAUAUAAAUAAAGUCAAAUAUUAA